rnacentral:rRNA from 1 species
GAUGAACGCUAGCGGCAGGCUUAACACAUGCAAGUCGAGGGGUAACAGGAGGAAGCUUGCUUCUUUGCUGACGACCGGCGCACGGGUGCGUAACGCGUAUAGAAUCUGCCUUGUACAGGAGGAUAGCCUUUAGAAAUGAAGAUUAAUACUCCAUAAUUCUGUUGUAUGGCAUCAUACAAUAGUUAAAGAUUUAUCGGUACAAGAUGACUAUGCGUCCUAUUAGCUAGAUGGUAAGGUAACGGCUUACCAUGGCUACGAUAGGUAGGGGGUCUGAGAGGAUUAUCCCCCACACUGGUACUGAGACACGGACCAGACUCCUACGGGAGGCAGCAGUGAGGAAUAUUGGUCAAUGGAGGCAACUCUGAACCAGCCAUGCCGCGUGCAGGAAGACUGCCCUAUGGGUUGUAAACUGCUUUUAUAUGGGAAGAAACCGCUCUACGUGUAGAGCCUUGACGGUACCAUAAGAAUAAGCACCGGCUAACUCCG